rnacentral:rRNA from 1 species
UGGUCUGCAAAAGAAACUAACAAGGAUUCCCCUAGUAACUGCGAGUGAAGCGGGAAAAGCUCAAAUUUAAAAUCUGGCGGUCUUUGGCCGUCCGAGUUGUAAUCUAGAGAAGUAAUGCCCGUGCUGGACCGUGUAUAAGUCUCCUGGGAUGGGGCGUCAUAGAGGGUGAGAAUCCCGUCUUUGACACGGACUACCAGUGCAUUGUGGUAUGCUCUCAAAGAGUCGAGUUGUUUGGGAAUGCAGCUCAAAAUGGGUGGUAAAUUCCAUCUAAAGCUAAAUAUUGGCGAGAGACCGAUAGCGAACAAGUACCGUGAGGGAAAGAUGAAAAGAACUUUGGAAAGAGAGUUAAACAGUACGUGAAAUUGCUGAAAGGGAAACGCUUGAAGUCAGUCGCGUUGGCCAGGGAUCAGCCUUGCUUUUGCAUGGUGUACUUUCUGGUUGACGGGUCAGCAUCAAUUUUGACCGCUGGAAAAGGGCCUGGGGAAUGUGGCAGCUUCGGCUGUGUUAUAGCCCCUGGUCGCAUACAGUGGUUGGGAUUGAGGAACUCAGCACGCCGCAAGGCCGGGUUUCGACCACGUUCGUGCUUAGGAUGCUGGCAUAAUGGCUUUAAGCGACCCGUCUUGAAACACGGACCAAGGAGUCUAACAUGCCUGCGAGUAUUUGGGUGGAAAACCCGAGUGCGCAAUGAAAGUGAAAGUUGAGAUCCCUGUCGUGGGGAGCAUCGACGCCCGGACCAGAACUUUUGGGACGGAUCCGCGGUGGAGCAUGUAUGUUGGGACCCGAAAGAUGGUGAACUAUGCCUGAAUAGGGUGAAGCCAGAGGAAACUCUGGUGGAGGCUCGUAGCGAUUCUGACGUGCAAAUCGAUCGUCAAAUUUGGGUAUAGGGGCGAAAGACUAAUCGAACCAUCUAGUAGCUGGUCUGC